rnacentral:rRNA from 1 species
UACGGGGGGGGCAAGCGUUGUUCGGAAUUACUGGGCGUAAAGGGCUCGUAGGUGGCCAACUAAGUCAUACGUGAAAUCCCUCGGCUUAACCGGGGAACUGCGUCUGAUACUGGUUGGCUUGAGUUUGGGAGAGGGAUGCGGAAUUCCAGGUGUAGCGGUGAAAUGCGUAGAUAUCAGGAGGAACACCGGUGGCGAAGGCGGGUCUCUGGGCAGUAACUGACGCUGAGGAGCGAAAGCGUGGGGAGCGAACAGG